rnacentral:lncRNA from 1 species
UGAGUAGGCCUAGCUGAUAAACUUCUGGAGUGAAGGUUGUUGUUUUGGUCCCCCAAACGUCAGACCACCCUCCCCAAACACAAGCAGGCCGUACGCAAAGCGUCCCACCUAAUUUCCUUAACGACGAGCUGGUGAACUUUUAUAUUUAGCACCGCUCGAGUUGCCCAUUCAGUGCCAGCAGACGUUCAGCAACACAACCUUGUGGAACCUCUCCGCUACACCAACACAACUCAUAACAUCAGACGAGUCACUGGCACUAGAGAGGAAACACGUGCUGAAACCCUGUCAGAAUCGAAUUAAGUGCCCUCUGAAAGCAAGGUGACCCAAUUCUUGGCGAGAAACGGGCUGAAACGGGCAAGAAAAUAUCUAUUCCAAACUCAUCUCUCAUUGCUUGAUAGAUUAAUGAUUAUUAAAAGCGUUGAAACAAGCAUUCAAGUACAGCCAGUAAUUCUCCGCGCAGUACUCCCGGCAGCUCACCCUACCUGCGCCGCCGUGUGCUGGGAGGCAGAGCCAGUGAAGGGGAGGCGGGCGGGGACAGAAGCGCUGGGGGCUCAGAGAGCCCCCUGCCUCCUACUCCCUCCUCAUCCACCUCCUCCUACCCGCUCGCGGCCCGACACUUCACCCGCAAUGCCAAGGUAAGCCACGUUCUCAACCAGUGAGACUGAUUGAUGGUCGUCACUCAUCCAAAUGUCUG